rnacentral:rRNA from 1 species
UACAAUGGAGAGUUUGAUCCUGGCUCAGGAUGAACGCUAGCGGCAGGCUUAACACAUGCAAGUCGAGGGGCAGCAAGGGUAGCAAUACCUGUUGGCGACCGGCAAACGGGUGCGGAACACGUACGCAAUCUACCUUUAUCUGGGGCAUAGCCCGAAGAAAUUCGGAUUAACACCCCAUAAGAUAUCAGAGUGGCAUCACUUAGAUAUUAAAUCUCCGGAGGAUAGAGAUGAGCGUGCGUCCCAUUAGCUAGUUGGUAGGGUAACGGCCUACCAAGGCGACGAUGGGUAGCUGGUGUGAGAGCACGACCAGCCACACGGGCACUGAGACACGGGCCCGACUCCUAC